rnacentral:rRNA from 1 species
GCUGAAACUCGCCUCUUUGAAGUCGGAAUCGCUAGUAAUCGCAGAUCAGCAUGUUGCGGUGAAUACGUUUCCUGGUCUUGUACACACCGCCCGUCAAACCAUGAGAGUCGCCAACACCCGAAGUCCGCUUUGCGGCCUAAGGUGGGGGGAUGAUUGGGGUUAAGUCGUAACAAGGUAAC